rnacentral:rRNA from 1 species
GACGAACGCUGGCGGCGCGCCUAACACAUGCAAGUCGAACGGAGUCAAGAGGAGCUUGCUUUUCUUGACUUAGUGGCGAACGGGUGAGUAACGCGUGAGUAACCUGCCCUGGAGUGGGGGACAACAGUUGGAAACGACUGCUAAUACCGCAUAAGCCCACGGAUCCGCAUGGAUCUGCGGGAAAAGGAUUUAUUCGCUUCAGGAUGGACUCGCGUCCAAUUAGCUAGUUGGUGAGGUAACGGCCCACCAAGGCGACGAUUGGUAGCCGGACUGAGAGGUUGACCGGCCACAUUGGGACUGAGACACGGCCCAGACUCCUACGGGAGGCAGCAGUGGGGGAUAUUGCACAAUGGGGGAAACCCUGAUGCAGCGACGCCGCGUGGAGGAAGAAGGUUUUCGGAUUGUAAACUCCUGUCGUUAGGGACGAUAAUGACGGUACCUAACAAGAAAGCACCGGCUAACUACGUG